rnacentral:rRNA from 1 species
UACGUAGGGUGCAAGCGUUGUCCGGAAUUAUUGGGCGUAAAGAGCUCGUAGGCGGUUUGUUGCGUCGGCUGUGAAAUCCCGAGGCUCAACCUCGGGUCUGCAGUCGAUACGAGCAAACUAGAGUGUUGCAGGGGAGACUGGAAUUCCUGGUGUAGCGGUGAAAUGCGCAGAUAUCAGGAGGAACACCGGUGGCGAAGGCGGGUCUCUGGGCAACAACUGACGCUGGGGAGCGAAAGCGUGGGGAGCGAACAGG